ensembl:lncRNA
CUUGGACAGAAAGGCAAGUACAGCUGUGCAGAUAAAGUACACACCUCCAACCGCUCUGCUUGCUCCUUCUCUUACACAGACGUUGUUAAUGGCCGACUAGCAUGGAGCUUUAUCCAACAAUACUGUCACGACUUGUGCAACUAUACUAGCAGGUGCUCAAUCGCUGCUUGAGCUGACUGACAAAGAAGACUAGAGCCAGCUACUGCAGCAAAGGACCAACGUGUGUCUCCAAUUUUCUUGAGCUUUCCCAUUUCGUCAAAGGCUCAACAUGAGGCUGUGUGCAUUUUUAGCAUUCGUGUAUGUGAUGACGCCUUCAGGAGGUAAGAACAGUAUGUGAGCGAUCAGCAGAACAGAUAUCAGUCCUGAAAUGUCGUUGUUCUUGUUGACCAUUGCGACCGUUAUUCAUACUUCAUUGCCUUCAGUGUGUGGCUUAAAGUGUUUCACCUGCUGGAGCGCAAACCCGGGCACCUGCACUCAGGUGUGGAGCUGUCCUAGAGAGUACGACCGCUGCAGCACCACUGUUGGUAAGGUGAAUCUGACGUGGCUUUGAUAUCACGUCACGAUUAUUGCAUCCUAUUAUUCUUUAUUGUGCAAUUUAUUUCUUAUCAAAAUCAAAUGUUUUCCCUUUAUUUAAUAUUCUCUUUCUCGGUUGCAGCUGCUGAGAAUAUGAUCACCAAAGAAUGCAUGAGAAGCGACGUGUGCAAUAACGAGGACGCCGUGGGUGUCAGAUGCUGCGCCGAAGACCUGUGUAAUGGAGCUAAACACCGUGGAGUCUUUGUCCCUCUCCUUCUGGCGCCCUUAUUCAUCAUCACGCUCUUCUGUUGAGGAUAAGCUGCC